rnacentral:lncRNA from 1 species
GUUUGGCUAGCGACAAAAUCAGGUUCAACCCACAAUUUUUCUGAAAAUGUCCUGUACCAAGUCAGGAUAAUGGCAGUUCUUAUCUUAUAGUUCUUUUUUGUGUUUGUUUCAUUGUCGUUUGGUUUUUUGUUGCACUUUAGUGUUUCUGUUUUGGUUGUUUUUUGUUUAUAUUGAGGUGAUGUGUUUCCCUCGGUUUUAUUUUGUAAUCCGGAUUUGUUUUCUCUCAAUCGAUUGAUGACUUUCGAACAGCGGUAUAUUACUGUUGCCUUUAUUAAGUUACGUAUAGUAACAAAUUC